rnacentral:rRNA from 1 species
GACAGAGGUGCCAAGCGUUUAGGCGGAAUCACUGGGCUUAAAGCGUGUGUAGGCGGAAUUGUAAGUACCUUGUGAAAUCCCACGGCUCAACCGUGGAACUGCUUGGUAUACUGCUUUUCUUGAGCCACUUAGGGGCUGUCGGAACAAACGGUGGAGCGGUGAAAUGCGUAGAUAUCAAGAGGAACACCUGAGGCGAAGGCGGGUUGCUAGGCUGACACUGACGUGAGGCGCGAAAGCUAGGGUAGCAAACAGG